AUACCCAGUGGGAAAAUGGAGAAUGCAUUACAUUGAUAAUGAAUAAUUUCUUGCAUUAUAUGAUUUACAUUACAGAAUUUGUCUAAAAUAUUCGAGAAAAGAAUGCAAUUUGAGAAAAAAAUGAUUAUAACAUUAUUGUUAUGGAAUGCAUUAUAUUAUUCAUCCCAAUAGAAGCGAAAUGAAUUAAAUUCUCAAGAUUGAUACCAAACCAAAACUUUUAAAAUGUCUAUAAUAAAAAAACAAUUUGUGUCACCUCUUGCACCCCAGAACGCAAUACUUCAAACUGACGAAAAUAAAAAAUCAGAAUUGGCCCGAAUAGAAGAUAUUGAGAAAAACAUUAAAAUACUAAAUGAUAAAUUUGAUACAUGUAUAAAUGUACUGACCAAAAUUGAAAUAAAACUAGAUACUCUAUUGACACAGGAUGCGAAAAAAAUAUACUUUCCCAUACAAAAUGAGGCAGAUCUCCACAAAGUUGAGAAAAAAAUUGGGGAAGACUUCGCUUCGUUUGUAAGUAUUGAAUAAUAUUAAA